GAUGAACGCUGGCGGCGUGCCUAAUACAUGCAAGUCGAGCGAACAGACGAGGAGCUUGCUCCUCUGACGUUAGCGGCGGACGGGUGAGUAGCACGUGGAUAACCUACCUAUAAGACUGGGAUAACUUCGGGAAACCGGAGCUAAUACCGGAUAAUAUAUUGAACCGCAUGGUUCAAUAGUGAAAGACGGUUUUGCUGUCACUUAUAGAUGGAUCCGCGCCGCAUUAGCUAGUUGGUAAGGUAACGGCUUACCAAGGCAACGAUGCGUAGCCGACCUGAGAGGGUGAUCGGCCACACUGGAACUGAGACACGGUCCAGACUCCUACGGGAGGCAGCAGUAGGGAAUCUUCCGCAAUGGGCGAAAGCAUGACGGAGCAACGCCGCGUGAGUGAUGAAGGUCUUCGGAUCGUAAAACUCUGUUAUUAGGGAAGAACAAAUGUGUAAGUAACUAUGCACGUCUUGACGGUACCUAAUCAGAAAGCCACGGCUAACUACGUG
rnacentral:rRNA from 1 species